rnacentral:lncRNA from 1 species
AUAACAAACAUCAUAGUUUAAUUGGUAGCUCUUAUUUUCUUUCUUAGCAGUCAAAAAUGAUGAUUCUUAUACUCAAUGGUAUCUUAGAUUUAAUAAAGUACAGAAUUAUCUCUCUUUUGCAGAUAAUGCUGUUGCAGUUCAGAGAGAUUUAGUGGCUUUGCAAGGUCAUAUGGCUCUAUUGUCUUCUGUACAGGAGGUGUCAACCCUUCACCUAUGGUGAUCUACAGUCUGACACACCCACUUGCCUGUGGCUGGAAGGCUGUGAUGUUGGGUGAGGGUGAAGGAGAAGUAGACAGGCAUCCUCUCUAGAGAUGAACGAGGAAAUGGAGGGAAUGGCUGCUGGAGACAAGAGAGCAGAUUGGAAGCCUAGAGCCUGGGAGCACAGCCCUGUGGAAGGCCAACGAUGCUCAGUGAAGAGUGACAACAGGCAGGUGGCAGAGGGAAUCGAGCCGUACGCAUGUCUCUGCCAGCUCCUGGGUUGGCAUGCCAUUGCAGACUGGCAAAGUGGAGCUGUGAAGACGUACCUGGCACAUGGCUAUGCUCAGAAAAUGUCAGGACCUUCAAGGCUUCCACACCCCCAGCAAGUCUGCACUUGGGUGGCUGAGAGUCUGUUUUCACUAGUUUGCACCCCCACGAAAGAGCACCAGUGACAGAUGUGUCCUGAUCCUCGAGAAUGAUCUCACUACAGGGUUUCAACUUUUGCACCUCCACAAUGGUAACAGUGAUUUUAAGAACUGACAUUGAAUGCAUACUUUCUUC